GUAGAGUAACGUUUCCGCCGAUGUCUAGUGGCGUCCGACGAACCAAGAAACGACUGGAGACAAAACCUACCAAAAUGACCACGGCAGUGCAGAAAGUAGUAGUUGUUCCACCAAUGCACUUAAACGGGAUUCGAGUGCGUCUCAGGGUAGUCCAAAAGGGAACAAAUCUACGGUGUACUCCUCUGACAUCAGAUCAGCGUCGAACAGUUUGAGUCCCAAGAGUACAGAGGCCGUGCCAGACUCCACGCCGCCGAGGAACCCCAAGGUCAAUACUGCGAGAGCUGGAAACAGCGAAGAGACAGUCGACAGGACCGACGGGGAGUCCAGUUACUCGUCCUUUUACUCGUCAUUCUUCAAGACGGAAUCUGGCAGCGCGGAGGAAAGCGGCGAUGCUAAGAAAUUCGCCCUCGGAAACAUGGGAAGGU